GAUGAACGCUGGCGGCGUGCCUAAUACAUGCAAGUCGAGCGAACGGACGAGAAGCUUGCUUCUCUUAUGUUAGCGGCGGACGGGUGAGUAACACGUGGAUAACCUACCUAUAAGACUGGGGUAACUUCGGGAAACCGGAGCUAAUACCGGAUAAUAUUUUGAACGGCAUGGUUCAACAGUGAAAGACGGUCUUGCUGUCACUUAUAGAUGGUUCCGCGCUGCAUUAGCUAGUUGGUAAGGUAACGGCUUACCAAGGCAACGAUGCAUAGCCGACCUGAGAGGGUGAUCAGCCACACUGGAACUGAGACACGGUCCAGACUCCUACGGGAGGCAGCAGUAGGGAAUCUUCCGCAAUGGGCGAAAGCCUGACGGAGCAACGCCGCGUGAGUGAUGAAGGUCUUCGGAUCGUAAAACUCUGUUAUUAGGGAAGAACAUAUGUGUAAGUAACUGUGCACGUCUUGACGGUACCUAAACAGAAAGCCACGGCUAACUACGUG
rnacentral:rRNA from 1 species